UCACUUGACAGAGAGGUAUGCGUAUACAUUGCAUCUUGAAAUGUAAGGAACCACAUGAGUAUCACUUGACAGAGAGGUAUGCGUAUACAUUGCAUCUUGAAAUGUAAGGAACUACAUGAGUAUCACUUGACAGAGAGGUAUGCGUGCCACAGUUGGAAAAGCACCUAUCUAAAUCACUUGAUAUGUUGCCCUAUGACUCUUUGUUAAGGAACAAUAUUUAUUUUAAAUCUUUUUUUUUUGUUUAGUUGUGCAUAAUUUAACUUUUAGCCAAGCGUAUACGUUAUAGUGUUAAGAAAAAAAUAUAAUAAAUUAGUAUAAUAGGUGAUGGCUUAUAAGAGCAUACACACUACAAUUAAGGUGCAGUAAAAUAUGUUCAUUGACAAAACACUGGACAUUAAAAGUUAAAAAAUCGAGAUAGAUACAAAUAGAAAACAUACAAAGACGUUAACUUUUGCCUAAUGUUGCUUAUUUCUUACAAAUCUUAUAUCAACUCUGUCUGUCUGUAGGGUGAAAAAAAAAGUUUGUACACGUUAUUUCUCCCACACACAACAUCGGAUUAAGCAGACAUUUUGCACAAUUAUUUCUUUUACCUGAUAACACAAGAAUCAAUUUAAAAAAUUAACCAAUACGUUCAUUAACUAUUGGUAAUUAAUUAUUGUGUUUGGUAUCUUGAACAAAGGAAAGAAAUCGUACUUGACUGGUGUGGAGGUAUAAGUAGAAUUAGUCCCUUUAAGGUCUUGAGCAAUGUAUGUAAAUUUUUUAUGCGUUUAAAAAAAACGAUCAUUUUAACAUUCAGCAAGAUACCCCCCCCCCCUUCUUCCCGUUACCCAUUCCCAGCUGGCCCAGACACGUGAUAGGACAGCGCAUAGAGAAAGCUAAAAACUAAACAAAUAAUUGAUAAAAAAUAUUUCUAAGUGCACAGAUUUAUGAUGUCUAGGUCAAUAGUGCAAAUAAUGACAUGCCAAUUACAUUUAAUAUAAAGCUUUGUUUCGUUUUGUUUUUUUUUUAAAGUAUUUUUUUUUAAUGUUUUUCUUGUAUCCAUAUUUUAACUUUUUUCUUCUUGCUAUUGUGAUAAUGGUUUCUCCAUUCCAAAAAUGUGAUUCUACACCAAGAAGAGUUCUACGUUUGUUUCAACUUUUCAAGACUCGGAAACAAGAGAGUGAUCUAUAUUCUGAAUAAAGUUUUGGCCAUGUAUUCAGAGAAU